GGGUAGGGCCGCUCACCGGUGUGGGAGCGCAUGUGGCGCUUCAGGAUGCACUGGUGCAUGGCCGAGAAGCUGCAGUACGGGCACCUGAACUUCUUCCGGAUCACCGUGAACUCGUUCACUGAAAGACAGCGGGGAGCGAGCCAGGGGCUUCGUGUCCUGGAUGCCCAGUGGAAAGCGGCUGCUCUCAGCUGAAGGCUGGUGGGCCCAGCUGAGCGAGAGGCCAGCUCGGCCCCAGCGGUGCACAGAGCGGAAGCCUUGAAGGGCGUCCAGUGCCUAGCAGAUUUCUUUGGUUCCCAGUGACAUAUUGCACGCUGGCGUGCACGACGGCUCUUUCCUCUGGGAUUGCCCAACUUCUCACAGAGAGUCAGGCCGCCCUGGGACACACCCCCAGGUAGACCCGGGUCUGGCCUCAGGGCAGAACAGGGCGAGGCCAUUGUGGCCCCAAGAGCAGCCGUGCACUUGGCCGCCGCAGCCCACCCGCUCGGUGCCCACCUCGGUUUCUGUUCUUAGAAAAGGAUUCCGCGUCCCCACCAAGCCUGAGAACAGCUUCCCCAUGUCCCUCCCAGAGGUCUGCGUCCUUUCCUAGAAGGUAAAGCAUUCUCUGACAUUCAGGGGCUUUUAGCGUGCAUUAAGGAACUGGGGCGCAGCCUGGGGAGGAAGGUAGGACACAGGGUCCAGGCGCCUCCAGCCAUGUCCAUCGCACCUGCGGAUGAAGACCUGGUGCUCCCCCUCCUUUGGCCCUCGGCCGCCCAACCAACUGCUCAGUCAGGCAACAAGGUCGCCCGGCUGCCCCUGUCGUGACGCCAACAGAGGGCAUGCGCACCGCCACGCCGAGAUGAAAAGGAGCCAGGAAACCAACUCUGAGAUUGCUUCGUUUAAAACAACUUCCUUGGGAAUGUAUUUAUUCAUGGUUUCUCUUUUGCUUCUAUAAACAUGAAAAUUAAAAUUUUGAAUUACGUAUUUUAGGCUUCUGUAUUUAACAAUUCAGUCCUACAUGUUAAAAAAAUGCUCAUCUCUGUGCAGAACUGUGUGUAUCUCCUGGGAAAACAAGUCAGGACGCAGUGGCCCGAGUUUGGCUGUGAGGGACCCACCCACCUGCCCUGGCUCACGUUCUGGCCCAGAGCCCGUGCGCUGCACGCUGCAGAUGGCCCACUUCACAUGCACUUUCUGAAGUCACCUGGAGCGACACAUGCCCUGACACGUUCCCACAAACUGGGCGGCACAGCCAAGAGAAAUCUACCCUCACAGGCCGGGAGGCUGGAAGUCCGAAGUCGAGGUGUCCCAGGGCUGCACUCCCUCCACAGGCUCCUUCCUGCCCCUUCCUGCCCCUGGGGACCCCAGACCUUCUGGGCGUGUGGCCGUCGGGCUGUCUCUGCCUCCAUCUUCAUGAGGUUCUUCCCGUCUGUGUCUCCUCUUCUGUCUCUUAUAUGGACACCUGUCACUGGACUUAGGGCCAACUUGGAUAUUCCAAGAUGAUCUUAUCUUGAGAGCCUUCAUUUAGUUAUAUCUGCAAAGACCUUUUUUCCAAAUAGGGCCACAUCCACAGGUUCCAGGGAUUGGGACAUGGACCACGGGUGGCGAGUAGAGUACCACCCACCCAGUACGGUCAACCAACAGCACUGUGAUUACCGAAGGCGAUUUUCAUUGGCCGUUAUGAUUAAAAUAACUUCGUAUGGGAAAGAACCUAAGCCCUCCACCGCAGGUGACUUACAGUCAAGAAGACUUUCAAUAUCAAUUUCAUUCUCAUAAACUCUGAAGACUUAAAAAUCCACAUAGUGAAGGAGCAAUGAAAUAAAUGAAAAAGCACAGGCAUCAUUAAAUCCCACCAGAUGUUCUCUGCUGAUCUGUCCUAAACCCUUUCGCCUGGAUGCAACGUUCGGGAAGCCGGCUCCAGGUUCUCUAACCUAUGACGCUCAGUGACACCUGGCUGCAGGUUGCAGAAAUAAUGGACAAGAACACCGCUCAGCCAGGCCGCCUCCCCAGCGGCACCCUGCCCAGCCACGUGCAGGUCUCGGGGCCACAGCCACCCGGCCUCGACCCUCCGCGGCGCUGCAGGAGAAUUGGGCAGUAUAAGGAUCCACCGUACGAGUGAAAGCUCAAGCUGCCUCCAGACCAUCGGGGACACCAAGAGACCACCAGGGAAGCCGGCAGGGCUGGCAGGCCGCUGGCAGGGAGAGGGCAUCUUUCUCGGGAAGGGCAGCAAGCCUUUCAUUGCGUAAGACCCAUCCUGGAUUUUCAUUCUUCCUUUGAUCGUAACUUCCAAAAGACUGCACUUCAAGUGCCUUCCAGAAAUGGAUCCGAAUGUGAACCAUACCUUGUCUUUUCAUUCAUAAAUGUCUUAUGCUGUCACUUACUUUGUGUCAGAACACAGUGAAGUUAAGAUGUGUCCAAAUUAUUUUCAAAAGGUUUUUAAUCUUACGUGAAAUGCACGUCCCUGAAGUGUAAGAUCAGUGAACUUUCACCUCCGUGCCUGCCCACAUAACCACCACCUACAUACAAGGAAGUGUGCAGCCCCUGCCGGUCAAGGCCCCUGAAGGCGGUGACCGCCUGCCCUCCAGCACCGGACGUCUGUUCUAGGACUUUGUACACGUGGGAUCGCUGGUCUGCGAGUCACCACAUCGCUGCCUGGAGCUGCGGUUUGUUCUUGGAUUCCACCGUACGUCCGACCGCACCCCCAGCCUAUGGCUGACCCGCACUGGACCCCGUAGACACUGCUGCCGGACAGUGCUCAGACCAGGUGGACAUACACAAGAGAGGAAUGUCUGGGCCACAGGGCAUUUGUGAGCUCCAUUUCCGUAGGCAGCUGCCCUAGCGUGUGUUUCCACUGGUCACGUGUGAGCAUCGUCCCAGCUGUUUCACGCCUUCCCGGCCGGUCAGCCCUCCCACUCUGGUCACUGGUGGGAGCACAGAGGGGCUGCAGUGUGGCUUUAACGUGCAUUUCACAAUGGCUAAUGGCAGCCUGGUGGCCGCUUGGACACCCCCUUCUGUGAAGUGCUUGUUCAAGUCUUCUAAUUUGUGCUAACUGCCUUUCCCUUUGAUUCUUUCAGUUUUAGGUAUUCUGAAUUUGAGUCCUUUGUAAGAGAGAUUUAUUGCAAACAUUUUCUCUAGUCUGUGACCGCACCUUUUGUUGUCUUUAUGGUGUCUUUUAGUAAAGAAAUUAAUUUUAAUAAAGUCCAUUUUAUCAGACUUGCAUUGUUAGCUUUUUAUGAGCCAUUUAAGAAAUUUUUGUCCACCACCAUGGUCGUGAGCUCCUCUCCUAGGCCUUCCAGAAAGCUUUUUCCUUUUAUAUGUAGGUUCAUGAGCCAUCCCAAAUUAAGCUGUGUGCUUGGUGGAAGGUAGGAGUUGAGAUUAACAUUUUUCCUCCAUGCUGACAUCCAAUUCACUCAGAACCACACACGGAAAAAACCACCUCCCACUGAGCUGCACGGUGGCUCCGCCCACCCAGGAGGUCCCACACGUCACAGCCUGUGCCAGACUGCCCUCAGCCCACUGUCAGACAGCCCUGCCCUUUGGGUCUUGACGCCUGUUGCUGUUGGCCUUCCACCUGCUCCCAGACCUCCUCGGCCAGGAUUAAUGUACCUUCUGCGCUCUAUAUUCCUAUACUGAGACCUGCUGCGGGAGGCCUCCCAGGGUGGGCCACUUCCAAGAGACAAUAAAUGGCCUGCCUGGAACCCUGCCUUCCACAUGGGGAGCCCACGCCCACCCACAGGCACAGACAACGAGGGACACCCGUGCUUCGGAGCCACUUAAGCUGUUUGGACCAGCCCGUCCUA